UUUCAUGCCAAUGCGGUUCUUUGCGGACCUGCCAUGCAUUAUCCUAAUUUUGGAGAAAUGGUCGCUCAUCUAGCUUGUAAGUUUAAUGCUGCAGGCAUUCGAAUGGGGAAACCCAGUGCAAUCCGUUGCACUAUCGUUAACUGAAUACAUAGGUUAACGAGGCGAACCGGGGGAACUGAAACAUCUAAGUACCCCGAG
rnacentral:rRNA from 1 species